UUAUUACUAAAGGUCUGUCUAUAUACAGCCUUACUGGGUUAUUACUAAAGGUCUGUCUAUAUACAGCCUUACUGGGUUAUUACUAAAGGUCUGUCUAUAUACAGCCUUACUGGGUUAUUACUAAAGGUCUGUCUAUAUACAGCCUUACUGGGUUAUUACUAAAGGUCUGUCUAUAUACAGCCUUAUUACUAAAGGUCUGUCUAUAUACAGCCUUAUUACUAAAGGUCUGUCUAUAUACAGCCUUAAUGGGUUAUUACUAAAGGUCUGUCUAUAUACAGCCUUACUACUAAAGGUCUGUCUAUAUACAGCCUUACUGGGUUAUUACUAAAGGUCUGUCUAUAUACAGCCUUAUUACUAAAGGUCUGUCUAUAUACAGCCUUACUGGGUUAUUACUAAAGGUCUGUCUAUAUACAGCCUUACUGGGUUAUUACUAAAGGUCUGUCUAUAUACAGCCUUACUACUAAAGGUCUGUCUAUAUACAGCCUUACUGGGUUAUUACUAAAGGUCUGUCUAUAUACAGCCUUAUUACUAAAGGUCUGUCUAUAUACAGCCUUACUGGGUUAUUACUAAAGGUCUGUCUAUAUACAGCCUUACUACUAAAGGUCUGUCUAUAUACAGCCUUACUGGGUUAUUACUAAAGGUCUGUCUAUAUACAGCCUUAUUACUAAAGGUCUGUCUAUAUACAGCCUUACUGGGUUAUUACUAAAGGUCUGUCUAUAUACAGCCUUACUACUAAAGGUCUGUCUAUAUACAGCCUUACUGGGUUAUUACUAAAGGUCUGUCUAUAUACAGCCUUACUGGGUUAUUACUAAAGGUCUGUCUAUAUACAGCCUUAUUACUAAAGGUCUGUCUAUAUACAGCCUUACUGGGUUACUACUAAAGGCCUGUCUAUAUACAGC